AAGGAAGGAAGGAAGGAAGGAAGGAAGGAAGGAAGGAAGGAAGAAAAAGAAUAAGUUUAAAACAAAAGCAAACAAGCAAUGGUGGCCAAACAGCGGAUCAGGAUGGCUAACAAGAAGCACAGCAAAAACAUCACACAGAGAGGGAACGUAGCCAAAACCCUGAGACCACAAGAAGAGAAAUACCCUGUGGGUCCGUGGCUGCUGGCACUGUUUGUUUUUGUUGUCUGUGGUUCAGCUAUAUUUCAGAUCAUCCAGAGUAUCCGGAUGGGUAUGUGAGCUGCAGGGACUGGACUGCCCUUCCUCUGUCAGAAGGGAAGACUGGACGAGUCUUUAGCUAGUGGAACUGCUAGAACAGAUAUUGUUUAAAAAGCCACGUGGGUCCAUGAUCUGCAUCAAGGAUGCCCAACCGAACUACCUCUUAAUGUGACGACUCGGUGCUUGCUGGUUCUCAACAGGAAAAGAAAGGAUGCUCUCUCUUCUGGCUGGAGGGCUGUCCCAGCGCAGCUCUGUAUGGAUAAGAAACCUGAAAAGUUAAGUGGUAAAGUGAGGUCAUCUUUAUAACCAUCAUCAUCAUCAUUAAGUUCUACUUUUGAGUCUGAAUGAAAAAGCCAUUUGGGCCUGGAGCCCAUUCUCAGCUCUACUGUUAACUUUGUGCUCCAAAAAAGUUGUGAAAACAGUUGGAUUUGGGGCUAGAGAGCCCAGUGCUAUGACUUACAACCUAGAGGCAGUUAAUUAUCAUGGGGAAGAGUGUGCUGGACUUGGAGUGAAGAAGGCCAGAGUUCAAAUCCUGCCUCAGAAACUUAACAGCUGUAUGACUCUAAACAAAUCACUUUGACUUUUCGUAUCUAAAAGGGAGAUAACAAAAGUCCCCGUUUAAUGGUCUUGUUGUGAGGGUCUGUGCAUCAGGCACUUUACAAACCUUCAUGCACUGUGUAAUAUUAUGAUACAUGUGAACUUGGGUAAGUUACUCUCUGAGUCUUGAUUUCCUUAUCUAUAAAUUGAGGGAGGGAGAUGUUACUGUUUAUCCUUAGUUUUUGAAAGGGAAGGAUGACAUUACGGGGGAUGUCUUGACUUAUGUAUGAAUUGGAUUUAAGUGAGCAGAAUGACACAAUCUCACUUUUCUAGAGUUGAUGAAUCCAGUGGCAAGAAAAGCCCAGGAUGAGUGGUGAAGGCCUGGGAUGCCGUGGAUGACUCUGGCAUCUUGGAUGUCUGACCAAGCUCCAUCAAAUGUGAUAAUGUUUAUUAUGUA